GUGAAAAAGAACCUGAAACCGUGUACGUACAAGCAGUGGGAGCACCUUCGUGGUGUGACUGCGUACCUUUUGUAUAAUGGGUCAGCGACUUAUAUUCUGUAGCAAGGUUAACCGUAUAGGGGAGCCGAAGGGAAACCGAGUCUUAACUGGGCGUUAAGUUGCAGGGUAUAGACCCGAAACCCGGUGAUCUAGCCAUGGGCAGGUUGAAGGUUGGGUAACACUAACUGGAGGACCGAACCGACUAAUGUUGAAAAA
rnacentral:rRNA from 1 species